rnacentral:rRNA from 1 species
GAUGAACGCUAGCUACAGGCUUAACACAUGCAAGUCGAGGGACCGGCGCACGGGUGAGUAACACGUAUACAACCUGCCCUUUACUCGGGGAUAGCCUUUCGAAAGAAAGAUUAAUACCCGAUAUAAAGGAUGGGGAUGCGUUCCAUUAGGUUGUUGGUGAGGUAACGGCUCACCAAGCCUUCGAUGGAUCGGGGUUCUGAGAGGAAGCUCCACGACAUUGGAACUGAGGCACGGACCAAACUCCAAGGGGAGGCAGCAGUAUGGAGUAUUGGGCAAUGGACACUAGCCUGAAACAGCCAAGUAGCGGAAAGGAUGAAGGCUUUGGAAUCGUAAACUACUGUGAUAUAAGAAUAGGUAUUAUAUGAAUAAGGAUCGGCUAACUCCGUGCCAGCAGCCGCGGUAAUUC